rnacentral:rRNA from 1 species
AGAACGAACGCUGGCGGCAUGCCUAACACAUGCAAGUCGAACGAACCCUUCGGGGUUAGUGGCGCACGGGUGCGUAACGCGUGGGAACCUACCAUCAGGUUCGGAAUAACAGUUAGAAAUGACUGCUAAUACCGGAUAAUGUCUUCGGACCAAAGAUUUAUCGCCUUUUGAUGGGCCCGCGUUGGAUUAGCUAGUUGGUAAGGUAAAAGCUUACCAAGGCGACGAUCCAUAGCUGGUCUGAGAGGAUGAUCAGCCACACUGGGACUGAGACACGGCCCAGACUCCUACGGGAGGCAGCAGUGGGGAAUAUGGACAAUGGGCGAAAGCCUGAUCCAGCAAUGCCGCGUGAGUGAUGAAGGCCUUAGGGUUGUAAAGCUCUUUACUGGGGAUGAUAAUGACAGUACCCAGAGAAUAAGCUCCGGCUAACUCCGCGCCAGCAGCCGC